AAAAAAAAAACGUGGGCUCCGCAUUAUUUUCCAAGACAGGUGUUCUCUGCUUCGUUGAUCAAUCAAUCUUCGUUCAGAAGUUCAGUUUAUCGGCUUCAUCAAGAUGCACAAAAUGCUCAGUUCACGAUCACUUUUACUCCUCGUAUGUACGGCAAAAUGCAAAUCAAAUAAGCUAAUUGGGGUGAUUAACUCAUUAGGGAGUGCAUUUGAUUAGUUCGCUAGAUUGGGGAUGGUUGGUGAAGGUGGUGGCGCAGAACCCGGAGCACGUCCAGGAAGAGGACGACGC
rnacentral:lncRNA from 1 species